rnacentral:rRNA from 1 species
AUCGAACGCUGGCGGCAGGCCUAACACAUGCAAGUCGAGCGAGCGGCGGACGGGUGAGUAAUGUCUGGGAAACCGCCUGAUGGAGGGGGAUAACUACUGGAAACGGUAGCUAAUACCGCAUACCAUCGGAUGUGCCCAGAUGGGUUUAUCUUGUUGGUGGGGUAAUGGCUCACCAAGGCGACGAUCCCUCGCGGGUCUGAGAGGAUGACCGGCCACACUGGAACUGAGACACGGUCCGGACUCCUACGGGAGGCGGCGGUGGGGAGUAUUGCACAAGGGGCGCAGGCCUGAUGCAGCCAUGCCGCGUAGAUGAAAAAGGCCUUCGGUUUGUAAAGUACUUUCAGCGGGAAGGCGGUACCCGCAGAAGAAGCACCGGCUAACUCCGUGCCAGCAGCCGCGGUAAUAC